rnacentral:rRNA from 1 species
UACGAAGGGGGCUAGCGUUGCUCGGAAUCACUGGGCGUAAAGGGCUCGUAGGUGGCCAACUAAGUCAGACGUGAAAUCCCUCGGCUUAACCGGGGAACUGCGUCUGAUACUGGAUGGCUUGAGUUUGGGAGAGGGACGCGGAAUUCCAGGUGUAGCGGUGAAAUGCGUAGAUAUCUGGAGGAACACCGGUGGCGAAGGCGGCGUCCUGGACCAACACUGACACUGAGGAGCGAAAGCCAGGGGAGCAAACGGG